GUCCACGCUGUAAACUAUGAUUACUCGAUGUUUGCGAUACACAGUAAGCGUCUAAGCGAAAGCGAUAAGUAAUCCACCUGGGGAGUACGCUCGCAAGAGUGAAACUCAAAGGAAUUGACGGGGCCCGCACAAGCGGAGGAGUAUGUGGUUUAAUUUCGAUGAUACGCGAGGAACCUUACCCGGGCUUGAAAGUUAGUGACCGUUCCUGAAAGGGAAUUUCCCGCAAGGGCACAAAACUAGGUGCUGCAUGGCUGUCGU
rnacentral:rRNA from 1 species